GAUGAACGCUAGCGGCAGGCUUAAUACAUGCAAGUCGUGGGGCAGCGCAGGUAGCAAUACUGGGCGGCGACCGGCAAACGGGUGCGGAACACGUACACAACCUUCCGAGAAGUGGGGAAUAGCCCAGAGAAAUUUGGAUUAAUACCCCGUAACAUAACGAUGUGGCAUCACAUUGUUAUUAUAGCUUCGGCGCUUCUUGAUGGGUGUGCGGCUGAUUAGAUAGUUGGCGGGGUAACGGCCCACCAAGUCUACGAUCAGUAGUUGAUGUGAGAGCAUGAUAAGCCACACGGGGACUGAGACACGGGCCCGACUCCUACGGGAGGCAGCAGUAAGGAAUAUUGAGCAAUGGACGCAAGUCUGAUCCAGCCAUGACGCGUGAAGGAUUAAGGUCCUCUGGAUUGUAAACUUCUUUUAUCUGGGACGAAAAAAGGCGAUUCUUCGUCACUUGACGGUACCAGAUGAAUAAGCACCGGCUAACUCCGUGCCAGCAGCCGCAGUAAUAC
rnacentral:rRNA from 1 species